CUUGUUGUACAUCCUAUACUCCCUACAUCUCUCAAUGUCAUUAUCUUCAUUACUACCUUUAUGUAAAAUGGUUUUCAUUUUAGAAUGCUUCUCUCUCUCUCGAAGCAGAAUACCUUUACAAUAAAUUGUGAUUUUCUUUUUGUCUAUUAGAUAUAUGCUUAAAGGAGGUAACGUCGAUGGCCGACAGUCUGUAUAAUAUUCGGCUUCUGAGAGAAUUCUCCAAUGAAUAUCUUAAUAAAUGUUUUUAUCUCACCUUGGAAGAUAUGCUGUAUGCGCCAUUAGUGUUGAAGGUAAUAACGAAUUAAAAGGCAAAAGAACAGAUUCUUGAUGAGAGUGGGACCCCAUGUGGUGUAUCCUCAGGGAAACUUGGUACUUGUGCAUCAGGACACAGGGAAAGGAUGCUCAGAGCAGCUCUGCUCAUAACAGCUAAAAAGAAGCUCCCAGAUGUGCCCAUCCUUUUUUUUAAUGGCUGCAUAGUAUUCCAUGGUGUAUAUGUGCCACAUUUUCUUUAUCCAGAUGGGCAUUUAGGUUGGUUCCAAGUCUUUGCCAUUGUGAAUAGUGCUGCAGUAAACAUACGUGUGCAUGUGUCUUUAUAGUAGGAUGAUUUACUUUUUUUUAUUUUAUUAUUUUUUUCGAGACAGAGUCUCACUCUGCUGCCCAGGCUGGAGUGCAGUGGCACAGUCUCAGCUCACUGCAAGCUCCACCUCCCGGGUUCACACCAUUCUCCUGCCUCAGCCUCCCAAGUAGCUGGGACUACAGGUGCCCACCACCAUGCCCAGCUAAUUUUUUUGUAUUUUUUUUUUUUAGUAGAGACGGGGUUUCACCGUGUUAGCCAGGAUGGUCUCGAUCUCUUGACCUCAUGAUCCACCCGCCUCAGCCUCCCAAAGUGCUGGGAUUACAGUUGUGAGCCACCGUGCCCGGCCUAUAGUAGGAUGAUUUAUAAUCCUUUGGGUAUAUACCCAGUAA
rnacentral:lncRNA from 1 species